GGGAGGCAACUCAAAUGCAAAGGCAGAUAAUUCAGAUUAAAGUACUUUUAUAAUAGAAUGUGUUAGGAAUUUACCUAUUUUAUAAUGUAGCAAGAAAACGGGUUCGGUGACCCCAUUGUUUCUUUUUCUUAACUGAAAGCAUACUAUUAAAGCCAUCUUCUCGUGUGUUAUAUCAAAAUUCUAUGGUGUAGAUUACGCUUUAUUUCAGAAAAUUGGGUUUUUCAUGCAUAAUCUAUACAAAAUUUGUCAAUUUUGAACACUGAGUAGCGUGAAAAUAGGCAC
rnacentral:lncRNA from 1 species